GUCCAUAAAUACAAAUGCUUUGCCAAAUUAUAGCCGCAUGGCCAAGACAAAACCAAAAUCCAAAUGCUUCUUCAUCUUCCAUCAUAUUUAUCUUGGGCCCCUAUCUAUUCUAUAAAACCCUAUCUCCCUCUCUCACACUUCUCUCAGUUUUCUCUCUCUAUCUUUCUCAAACACAGAAAGAAGGAGGAAGAAGAACAAAAGUGGUGGGUUCCAGUUGUUGAUAACAAAGUCAUAUCAAGCAGUAAUGGCUCGGGAGAAGAAGAAGAAGAAGCACUACUUGUUUUUCAACCACCCAUUUCUUGCGUCAAGCGAAUUGGCCAAUCUGCCCUUGCCGAUUAUGGCUUACCCUACUUCAAUAUUAGAAGACAUUCAUUCCUUUGGACAUUAGAGAGCGGGUCACUGUCGUCGUGCAAUGACCCGAAAAUGAAGAGUAGAUCCUCAUCGAUUAAUGUAACUGAUCAUCUCUGGUGGUGUUAGUACUACCAAGAAGAUCGAACACCAUUCGUUAACAGAAACUGUAGAGGCAGACAGAAUGGAGCCAGGCAAUUCUAGUUUUAGUUUUCUGAAUUACUAUUACCUUCUUCUAUUUGGUGAAUUCCGAAAACCCUUUUCGUUUGUCAGUUUAGACUCGUUUCCUUAUAUUCUCCAGAGCUCGAUCAUCAUCACUUUUACUUUUUAGAAUCGAAGUUGAUCCCACGGUUCCCACCGACACUUUUCGGACUGUUAAUCGACUUAAUCUCGAUUGAAUGUGCAUGUCUUAGGGUACAGGGAAUAAUCAGAAUUCAAGUUUCUUGUUUGUCACGUGAGUUUGUAAUAUAUUAAUUUACAAUAGUUGGAGUGUACUGCUUGGUCAAGAACUUGAUCAUGAUGCCAUUGUAUAUAGUAAGAAAAUGUUUUCUUC